AAGAUAAAUUAUAUGAGAUCUUUAAUUUGUAUAUAAGAUAAUUUUAUUUUGUUCUAAUAUCUGUGUGAUGUUAGUUUAAAAUAUUAUUUUUUAAUAUAUUGAUUUUAUAUAUUAGGUAGGUGCCCAUUCUGUUCCUAGCUUCAGAAGUUAUUUAUACCUAUGCAAUACCUUCGCUCAGGUUAAAGAAUGGAAUACUAUUCUUGCAUCAAAUGUAUGUAAAAAUCUAGCUUUUAUAUAUUAACUUGUGAUCAGAGCAACUAGUAUGUUGGUUGGAUAUAUUACAUAUCCAUUCGAUGUUUAUCACCAGAAGUUAGUUCUACCUUUGCAGUACCUCUGCUUUACAUACCUCCUCGCUGAUUAAAGAAUGGAAUAUAAAUCUCAUAUCAAGUUGGUGUAAAAAUUUAGUUCAAUAAAUUAAGAAUUUAUAAACGUUCUCAAAAUUUUGAGUGGAGCAAUUGUUUUUCUGGUUUAGCAUGAGUAUGAAUCUGAUAUCAAUUGUAUGUACAAAGAUAGUUUACUUCUUAAAGAACCUAUCAGUAAACCAACUGAUUAUAAAACAGUUUUUAAUGGGAAUAAAAACAAAUUUUCAAAAGA